rnacentral:rRNA from 1 species
GAUGAACGCUGGCGGCGUGCCUAAUACAUGCAAGUCGAGCGAACAGACGAGGAGCUUGCUCCUCUGACGUUAGCGGCGGACGGGUGAGUAACACGUGGAUCACCUACCUAUAAGACUGGGAUAACUUCGGGAAACCGGAGCUAAUACCGUAUAAUAUAUUGAAUCGCAUGGUUCAAUAGUGAAAGACGGUUUUGCUGUCACUUAUAGAUGGAUCCACGCCGCAUUAGCUAGUUGGUAAGGUAACGGCUUACCAAGGCGACGAUGCGUAGCCGACCUGAGAGGGUGAUCGGCCACACUGGAACUGAGACACGGUCCAGACUCCUACGGGAGGCAGCAGUAGGGAAUCUUCCGCAAUGGGCGAAAGCCUGACGGAGCAACGCCGCGUGAGUGAUGAAGGUCUUCGGAUCGUAAAACUCUGUUAUUAGGGAAGAACAAAUGUGUAAGUAACUAUGCACGUCUUGACGGUACCUAAUCAGAAAGCCACGGCUAACUACGUG